UAAUGGGUGAUGGCGUGCCUUUUGUAGAAUGAACCGGCGAGUUACGAUUUGAUGCAAGGUUAAGCAGUAAAUGUGGAGCCGUAGCGAAAGCGAGUCUGAAUAGGGCGUUUAGUAUUUGGUCGUAGACCCGAAACCAGGUGAUCUACCCUUGGUCAGGUUGAAGUUCAGGUAACACUGAAUGGAGGACCGAACCGACUUACGUUGAAAAGUGAGCGGAUGAACUGAGGGUAGCGGAGAAAUUCCAAUCGAACCUGGAGAUAGCUGGUUCUCUCCGAAAUAGCUUUAGGGCUAGCCUCAAGUGAUGAUUAUUGGAGGUAGAGCACUGUUUGGACGAGGGGCCCCUCUCGGGUUACCGAAUUCAGACAAACUCCGAAUGCCAAUUAAUUUAACUUGGGAGUCAGAACAUGGGUGAUAAGGUCCGUGUUCGAAAGGGAAACAGCCCAGACCACCAGCUAAGGUCCCAAAAUAUAUGUUAAGUGGAAAAGGAUGUGGCGUUGCCCAGACAACUAGGAUGUUGGCUUAGAAGCAGCCAUCAUUUAAAGAGUGCGUAAUAGCUCACUAGUCGAGUGACACUGCGCCGAAAAUGUACCGGGGCUAAACAUAUUACCGAAGCUGUGGAUUGUCCUUUGGACAAUGGUAGGAGAGCGUUCUAAGGGCGUUGAAGCAUGAUCGUAAGGACAUGUGGAGCGCUUAGAAGUGAGAAUGCCGGUGUGAGUAGCGAAAGACGGGUGAGAAUCCCGUCCACCGAUUGACUAAGGUUUCCAGAGGAAGGCUCGUCCGCUCUGGGUUAGUCGGGUCCUAAGCUGAGGCCGACAGGCGUAGGCGAUGGAUAACAGGUUGAUAUUCCUGUACCACCUAUAAUCGUUUUAAUCGAUGGGGGGACGCAGUAGGAUAGGCGAAGCGUGCGAUUGGAUUGCACGUCUAAGCAGUAAGGCUGAGUAUUAGGCAAAUCCGGUACUCGUUAAGGCUGAGCUGUGAUGGGGAGAAGACAUUGUGUCUUCGAGUCGUUGAUUUCACACUGCCGAGAAAAGCCUCUAGAUAGAAAAUAGGUGCCCGUACCGCAAACCGACACAGGUAGUCAAGAUGAGAAUUCUAAGGUGAGCGAGCGAACUCUCGUUAAGGAACUCGGCAAAAUGACCCCGUAACUUCGGGAGAAGGGGUGCUCUUUAGGGUUAACGCCCAGAAGAGCCGCAGUGAAUAGGCCCAAGCGACUGUUUAUCAAAAACACAGGUCUCUGCUAAACCGUAAGGUGAUGUAUAGGGGCUGACGCCUGCCCGGUGCUGGAAGGUUAAGAGGAGUGGUUAGCUUCUGCGAAGCUACGAAUCGAAGCCCCAGUAAACGGCGGCCGUAACUAUAACGGUCCUAAGGUAGCGAAAUUCCUUGUCGGGUAAGUUCCGACCCGCACGAAAGGCGUAACGAUUUGGGCACUGUCUCAACGAGAGACUCGGUGAAAUCAUAGUACCUGUGAAGAUGCAGGUUACCCGCGACAGGACGGAAAGACCCCGUGGAGCUUUACUGUAGCC
rnacentral:rRNA from 1 species